rnacentral:snRNA from 1 species
GGAUGAGAGGGCGAUCUGCCCGCGACAUGUGUCACCCCAUUGAUCACCAGGGUUGAUUCGGCUGACCUGGCUGGCUAGGCGGGUGUCCCCUUCCUCCCUCACUGCUCCAUGUGCGUCCCUCCUGGAGUUGUGUGCUUGGUCAAAGAGGACGAGCUUCCCCAAAUAGAGGAGGGCAAGUCAAGGGCCAACGGCGUACAAGUACUUGUACUUCCUGCUAAAACCUCCAAACAAGCUCCCAAGGGCCCAGGAUGCAGCUCAACCAUCUACAGCGGGUGGCUUU